rnacentral:misc_RNA from 1 species
CCCCCCUUCACAUCCAUUACAUUUUGAGGCCCAGUUCCAUUUGCACCACCUGAGCCAAAGCUAUAAUUUAUACUUCCAACCUUGUUUGCUACUUCAUUUUCAUCCCCUUUAUCAGAUGGCCCGGCUGGUCCUUUUGUUUCAUCAGGAGGAAUAGCAGGCGUAUGACCCUGGAAGAGAGCAAUAUGCCCAAAAAGCUUGUCUUUCCUUGAAAAGGUUGUACCGCACGAACACAGCCAUUUAUCCUUGCCACAAUGCUUCUCAUGAGUUUUGAGGUCUGCAAUAACUGAGAAUUUCUUCGUGUUGCAUCUGCUGCAAGUGUAGCUCUUGUCACAGUGAGUUCUCUUAUAAUGGUUUUUGACACACAAAAUAGUCUUCAAAGGCUGAAACUUUUUGUGAUCCUUGUUCCGCUUACAACCAGUAAAUGGGCAUGAAUACCUCUUAAUGAGCACUGGUUCAGAGCUGGCUUCUUUGUUGGGUUUUGCAAGUGCAGCAGGAGUUUUGUACUCAUCACCAUGACCUCUCAUAUGCAUACGUAAAUUUGCAUCUCUCUUGAACCCUUUCCCACAUAUUGUACAGAAAUGAGUAUGUGGAGCAAGGAUUUCUUCUUUUUCUAGUUGUAAGAUCUCAUAGGAACCAGGCGGAAGGUUCUCUCCUUCCUCAGCAUCUUCUUCAUCUUUCCUUUCAUUUCAUGUUCUUCAAUAGAGUAGUUCUGCUCAGUCCCAUAAUUACCUGUAACAUCCAUUUGGUUGGACUGAUCAGAGACUUUAGUUCCACUACUAUGUUGUUGCUGUACACUAUUAUUCAUGCCUGUCCCAGAGGGAAAAAGAAUCCCCCCAAGCUGUCCAACAGGAGUAGUGGUUGCAGAAAGUGUAUGCUUCACAGAUGGAAGAAGACUACCUGCAGUAGAGAUCAAUUGUACGAUAAUUGAAGUGAGAUCAGCAGUUACAAGCUGCUGUUGCUGAGUUACCAGUUCCUCUGGCCGCCCCAAAACCUGACCCCUCCGGCCAACAAUCAAAUGCACCAAAU